ACUGCCCUAGGUAUUAUUGAACCAUUUGUUACCAGAGCAUCUGAAAAACUUACCCAUCUGUAAACACAGCCAAGGCACCCACAUCUCCUUGCAGAUAACUCCCUUACAGUGAAUAUUGGUAGUUCCUAAUUUGCCUUCCCAUAAUCUGGUAGGUGUGAAGGACUGAAGUGGUUCAGCUUGGGUCUGGACUCCACCAUGUUUUGUACAUAGGUGCUUCCAUGUAGACAGAAGAACAUCCUUCUUUUGGAGUAACUCAACAGCUAAUUAAAUCUCUGGCAGUCCUCACAGGGGGCUUUUUUGUGUAUGUAAGACCCUUUUCUCCGAGUGACCUGAUGCAAGGAUGUGUGCCAUGAGCAGCAGUUAACAGCUUUUCUCAGUGAUCCUCUUCUGGUCCAUGACAACUGACAAAGAUGUGAACUCCCAGCAUGCACAACUGGCAAUGGCUUCACUGUGUCACUUAUUUGGGCCAUUCUUGUCUUAAUGCCUGCCUGUGCUUCCUUACACCUUUCUGACUGAACAGGAUACACCAGUUGGAAGGAUCUAGUCCUUUCAGUAUUUUCUUUACAGGCUGCUCAGUUUUCCCUUUCUGUUUUCCAGACCUAAGCUAAACCACCUUUCCAGGCACAAAUCAAAUCACCUAAGGAGGUGGCAGAGAAGGUGCACCCUUUCUGAGUAUGGAAGAGAUGCCAUCUUGUCUUUCUGGGCCCUUACCUGUUUGUGUGGAUGCCAGUUAUCUCUGGAAAGGAGGAUCAGUCAGGAGACCCACCUUGUCACAGCGGUACUCUCCGAAGCGGACGCCCCGGAUGACUUGGUGGUAGAUGAGGUCAGUGCUGACGGGAUCCUCGCGGGAGCUGUGCCAGGGGGUGAAGAUCUCCUUGCGGAAGUAGAGGCGCCAGGGCGCGUGGCGCUCGUGCGUGCCGCGCUCCUUCACCAGCUGCUCGCACUGCGAGAUGGCGUCCAGCACGUGCUCCCGGCCCCCGCCCAGCGACCAGACCUGCCACACAGGGACACUGCCUUUACUGCCAGCCUGCUCUGGGUCUGCCCAAAGGAACAGAAGCACAAAGCUCCUGGUCUCCUGACUGCAAGAAAAACUCCAAAAAGUUCUGCUGCCAGGACGAGGAGCCCAUCUGAGCAAGAUGAACCUCAAGAUGGUACAAACUGUCACACUGGAACUGAAAUAGGCAGCACAUAGCUCUGAUGGAUUAAAAGUAAAAGCAAGGAAUACCCUGUACUCCAGCUCUUCUCGGAUGCAGCCAAGUAAAACUAUAAAAUGUUACACAGAAACUGAGAGCCUUUUCUCAUUACAGACUUUACCAAAGGAUGUUUACCUGUCCAUGGCCAGGUGUUCUGGACAGCAGAAAGCCACACUGGGACAAAGACAGAGGAAGAAAGAACAAGAUCAGAAAACAAUGUCAGGAGAAUAGACAGAUAAUAGGUGCAGGAUGGCAGCCAGCAGCUUGCUGAUGUCCCAGUGCUCAGAGUCUGAGAACAUGAGGAUCUUCAUAGCCGAGCGGAUGUGGGCAUAAUCCUUGGCGUCAUUCCGGCUGUCACAGGACGUGCAGUUACCCUGCAAGCACCACACCAACAGGUUCACUGUAUAAAGGGACCCCUGCUGUAACUCCAUGUCCAAAUCAGAGGUAAGUAUUCAUGCAUGGCAAUAAAUAGUUGGGGGUAGCCUGUGUUUAUCAACAUCACAUAUUUGUGUUUUAAUGUCAGCCUCCUAACCUGAGUUUUUGUUUAAGUCUUACAGCAGCAGAUACAGAUGCAGAAAUAAAAUGCAGGCCCUUCCGGGCUCAGAGACUUUUGGAGAGAAGCAGAAAGCCACAGAGAGCUUUCUUCAAGUUUCUAACUGUGCAAAUCAUUCCUACUCAAAGACUUUGCUCAAAGUAGCUCUUUAGCAGACUUAUUUUUGAUACAGUUAGUGAUUAACAAAAUUUCAAGUACUGGUUUUAUUAGGUAAAGGUCAAAUAGUGGCAAAGAAAUCAAAGUACAUACCUUUAUACUACCAAGGCAGAUAUCUAAACCCAAAGCUUUUUUUUAUAAUUAGACAAAAAAAAUGCCAAGCAUAUUCCUUCAGAAAACAAAACAUACAUGCUGAAAUUCCAAAUGGAGCCUGUUUGGGGGCAGAGAAUCUCAUUCUAAAAUUAACUACUAAAAUUGUUAACACUUGUUAACACUUUUGCCCAAGACAAGCGCCUCUGCUACUUCAGAGGGAAGUACAGGAUAUAUGUCCUAUAGACACUGUAGUAGAUGGAAUCACAGGGAAAUCAAGAUCAUGUGAAAGAAAAGUACAACUCAUUGUACAGCUGAAAUAUGCACUAGAAGGGAGAUUUUGAUUUCCAGAGCUGACAUAUUCAAGAGGUAGCAAACAAAGGCUGAGGAAGCAGGCACGUCAGAUACCAAGGGGAAGCAGCCAAGAUGCUCUGUGCAGCACAUGCAGCUAAUGAGAUGUGCAGGCUAAAGGUGCCUCCAGAGAAGGACCUGUGAGUGCAUAGGGGCACCUCAGGUUUGGCAGGCACUGAGCUAUGCAAAUAGGGAAAUACAGGAGGGGAACUUGCCAGGAAUGAGCAAUGUGGUGUUCUGCUGAACACAGAGUUUGGUCAGGGACUGUGCAGGGCACAGGAACAUUUGUAAUGGUAACUAGGGGUAAUCUGUAGCAUGGUCUAUGCUGAUUAAUUGUUGUAAGCUCUCAUUUAAGCAAGCUGCUGAUGGUGAAGAUUGUGACAUUACAUCUUAAAUAAUAAAGCUCAAAAAAUUAUUAAGUAUGUAGCAAGACACUGGGCACAGGCUGCCCAGAGAAGCUGUGGCUGCCCCAUCCCUGGAGGUGUCCAAGACCAGGCUGGACAGGGCUUGGAGCAACCUGGGAUAGUGGAAGGUGCCCCUGUUAUAGUGGAACUGAAUGAGCUUUAAGGCCCCUUCCAAUCCAAGCCAUUCUGGGAUUCUAUGAUGAAUGCUGCACCAAGAAAAGCAACAAAAUAAAAUUGGAUGAACCCUGGUGAAUUUAAUCCUGAAGUUGUUCAAAGUAAAAGGUCUGUCCGGAUAGACAUGUGUUAACAGAACUGCCUCUUCCUGACAAUUCCUAAUUAAGAGAUUGAUGUCAGGAUCAAAGGGCUUAAUUUGCGCAUGGCACUACCUUUCAUAUUUUCUCUCCUAAAGUCAAAGGGGCCUUGUCACUUCUGCAUCAGGUCCUGGAUACCAAACAUCAUUUUAUGUUAAACUAGAUAUUUCUCUGAGGUUUCUGAAGCGAGGUGGA